rnacentral:rRNA from 1 species
GACGGAGGAUGCAAGCGUUAUCCGGAAUGAUUGGGCGUAAAGCGUCCGCAGGUGGCAGUUCAAGUCUGCUGUCAAAGACCGGGGCUUAACUUCGGAAAGGCAGUGGAAACUGAACAGCUAGAGUAUGGUAGGGGCAGAGGGAAUUCCUGGUGUAGCGGUGAAAUGCGCAGAUAUCGGGAAGAACACCCGUGGCGAAGGCGGUUCUCUGGGACGGUACUGACGCUGAGACGCGAAAGCGUGGGGAGCGAACAGG